UAAUUGAAGAGUUUGAUCAUGGCUCAGAUUGAACGCUGGCGGCAGGCCUAACACAUGCAAGUCGAGCGGUAACAGGAGAAAGCUUGCUUUCUUGCUGACGAGC
rnacentral:rRNA from 1 species